rnacentral:misc_RNA from 1 species
GAUUUAUACCAAUCUCACACUGUGAACCGUGGCUCCGGCCCAAACUUGAAUGUAAAGAAUGUAUAAUCAAUUUAAACAAAACAUAACUUUCAACAACGGAUCUCUUGGCUCU